rnacentral:rRNA from 1 species
GCGCUGGACCGUGCACAAGUCUCCUGGAAUGGAGCGUCAUAGAGGGUGAGAAUCCCGUCUUUGGCAUGGAUCCCAGGGCUUCUGUGAUGCGCUCUCGACGAGUCGAGUUGUUUGGGAAUGCAGCUCAAAAUGGGUGGUGAACUCCAUCUAAAGCUAAAUAUUGGCGAGAGACCGAUAGCGAACAAGUACCGUGAGGGAAAGAUGAAAAGCACUUUGGAAAGAGAGUGAAACAGUACGUGAAAUUGUUGAAAGGGAAACGCUUGAAGUCAGUCGCGUUGACCGAGACUCAACCUUGCUUUGGCUUGGUGUAUUUCUCGGCUGACGGGUCAGCAUCAAUUUUGACCCUCAGAUAAUGGCAAGGGAAAGGUGGCACCUUUUAGGUGUGUUAUAGUCCCAUGUCGCAUGUGAGGGUUGGGAUUGAGGAACUCAGCAUGCACCUCUGGGUGUCGGGGCUUUGGCCCACGUUACAUGCUUAGGAUGCUGGCGUAAUGGCUUUAAACGACCCGUCUUGAAACACGGACCAAGGAGUCUAACAUACCCGCGAGUGUUCGGGUGGAAAACCCGUGCGCGUAAUGAAAGUAAAAGUUGGGACCUCUGUCGUGGAGGGCACCGACGCCCGGACCAGACCUUCUGUGACGGCUCUGCGGUAGAGCGUGUAUGUUGGGACCCGAAAGAUGGUGAACUAUGCCUGAAUAGGGUGAAGCCAGAGGAA